CACAGCUGCCUCCACAAGCACAGGAGGGUCCCUCUGAGACCAAAUUCAUUUCAGUCCCUUGCAAAGCAAAAAAAGGGAAAUCAUGUUUUGGCUGAUGUUUAUUCUCUCCUUAGCCAUCUUCAAAGGUGUCCACUCAGAGGUCCAGCUGGUGGAAUCUGGAGGGGAUGUCAAAAGGCCCGGGGAGUCCCUCCGCCUCUCCUGCCAAGCCUCUGGUUUCACCUUUACCAGCUACUACAUGGGCUGGGUGAGACAAGCUCCCGGGAAGGGCUUGGAGUGGGUUGCAUAUAUGCACCCAACCACUUCAAGUGACAUUAACUACUCUGACAAAGUGAAAGGCCGCUUCACCAUUUCCAGGGACAACUCAAAGAGCCAGCUGUAUCUGCAAAUGAACAGCCUGCAAACUGCGGACACGGGAAUCUACUACUGUGCAAGAGGCACAGCAAGGAGAAGUGAAUCUGGAGAGAAACAAAAACUCUCCCUUGUUCACACCAGUUCUCCUGGUUGA